AGGAAGGGCAGCCCUUGAAGCCCCUCAGCCCCAGUUGGUCAAACCCCAGCGACCUUUGCCCCUGGUUGCCAAGGGCUUUGCAACAUGAAGCAGGGAAUAAAGAUCUGUCUGUUUAGUGGAUACUGUGUAUCCUUUAAUAGACCAGGUAACAGUUCGUGUUAGUUUUAGACUAUUGUUUUGUACUGUACUUUCUUGGGUGGCAGAGGAAAGAAAAGUUAAAAUGUUAAAAAAACAAAACAAAAAAAAAACAAACAAAAAAACAACUGCGUUCUUUAAUUCUGUAUUAUUAGCGACCUCUGUUGUAUAUAGUGUUUGAUAAUAAAGUAUUAAUUUGAUUCUUAUGUCUUUUGUAAGUGAAAACAGACUUUCAGGAUACAAAACAUGCAUUGAGGCUUUGAAACAUCCAACGUAUCCAUGGCUAAGAAGCCACAAGUGGCUGGAACUCCAUCCUGGACCAUUCCAUCUUACAGCUCCACCGGAAACAACAGGACUGCUUUGAUUGACAUUUUUGUCCUCGGUGUUUUCAAGGUCUGAUGUCGGAGCUCUGUGGUCCUUCCCCUCACCCCAAGCAUGUGGUUUGAAAAGGUUUAGAUAACUUAGAAAUGGUUCUGUACUUUGGUUUGGUUUUCUGUUUUGUCAUUCUCCCCCAGGAAAGGAAGAGUCACAGUACCUGUGGGCUUUCAGGGACUCUGCCUGUGCCUUAGCAACGGCUGCAGCCAUUUUAUUAGUUUCACAAAAUUAGAAAAACAGUUUGAAACUCCUCCUUACCAUUCAUUGUUCUCAGAGUUGUGGUCACAAGAUUUUUCUUUUGAAAAUCGCCUCCACCACCAACACCCACCCGUUUGCCUCUCCCCUCCAGCCCCGCCUCUCUCUCUCUCUCUCUCUCUCUCUCUCUCUCUCUCUCUCUCUCUCUCUCUCUCUCUCUCUCUCUCUCGUUUUCUCUCUCGCUCUCUCACCCCCACCCCCACCCCCACAUUCUGUUUUCCCUCAGAGCCGUGAAUGGGCAGGUCUGUCUCUGGUUUGGCAUCGCUGAGUUCUUCCCACGCAUUUGCCCCAGAGCUGCUCGGAUGCGAGACGAAAUCUCCCUACAAUGGGCUCACUCCCAUUGUUUGUACAGUUUAAUAGAUGCUGCCAUGUUGGAGGUUACCCAUGAGUCCAAAAUCUGUUUUCCAUGCUUCUUCUUGACACCGCAUUGAAGCCACUCACCUGUGUGCGUCUGGGUAUGAAGUCCAGCUCCUUCCGUGCAGCCCUGUGCUUGGACUCCCCGCCUUGCUGUCCUUUGCACCUCCUCAUCGAGUGCCGUUUUGAAAUGCUGACAUUAUAUAAACGUAAAAGAAAAUGUAAAAAAAAAAAAAAUUAAAACACACACACGCAAAUCCAUACGAUCUGUAUUUGUAUAUACACGUGUCCGUACAAGUAUACCUAAAUAAAAAUUAAAGAUUUUCAUCAUUUUAAUU
rnacentral:lncRNA from 1 species